rnacentral:rRNA from 1 species
AUUGAACGCUGGCGGCAGGCCUAACACAUGCAAGUCGAGCGGAAACGAGUUAUCUGAACCUUCGGGGGACGAUAACGGCGUCGAGCGGCGGACGGGUGAGUAAUGCCUAGGAAAUUGCCCUGAUGUGGGGAUAACCAUUGGAAACGAUGGCUAAUACCGCAUAAUGCCUACGGGCCAAAGAGGGGGACCUUCGGGCCUCUCGCGUCAGGAUUAGCCCAGGUGAGAUUAGCUAGUUGGUGAGGUAAGAGCUCACCAAGGCGACGAUCUCUAGCUGGUCUGAGAGGAUGAUCAGCCACACUGGAACUGAGACACGGUCCAGACUCCUACGGGAGGCAGCAGUGGGGAAUAUUGCACAAUGGGGGAAACCCUGAUGCAGCCAUGCCGCGUGUGUGAAGAAGGCCUUCGGGUUGUAAAGCACUUUCAGUCGUGAGGAAGGUAGUGUAGUUAAUAGCUGCAUUAUUUGAC